CUAUUAUGGCUUGUGACACUUGAAAUGUGAGUGAAGCUAAAGGUGCAGGUCAGGCCAAAGUGUCAAAGUCUUAUCUGCACAUGUGCACUGCUGAUUGUGUACUUGCAGGACAAUAUCUGUUUCUUCUGUAACUACAUCCAUGGAGUGGUUACAGAUGUCACCCUUCCACAUAAGCUUACUGUUACUGGCUGGUUACCUGGUCACAGCCACCAACGCAGGUGCUGGAGAUAAUCAAACAGCAUCCACUCCAGAACAGGAAGUUCCUUGGGUGGCAUGUGCUACGCUGGAGUGUGACAAGCCAUGUCCCACACUUCCACCCAGCUGUCCCUCUGGCAUCAUCAAGAAGUGUGGCUGCUGUAACGUUUGCUGGAAAUACCUGAAUGAAGGACAGCUGUGUCGCAAGUUCCUUCAAGGAAACACACUGUGUGGUCCUGGUCUUGUCUGCAGCAGUAGUGGCAUAUGUGAACAUCUGCCUAAUGUUUCCAGCAGUGAGGAGGAGAGCCCUGAGUGAAUGACUUCACUGAAAUUUAGAAGAUGUUCCUGAGACAUGUGUGCCUAGUUCUGUCAGUUGCCUGCCUUGCUCUGGCCGAUGACAGGUUUGGCCAUCAUCAUCCACGUGGUGGCAUUGUGCAGUGCCUGCCAAAUAUGUGUGAUGAGCCCUGUCCCACUUUACCAUCCUACUGUCCCUCAGGAGUCAUCAAGAACUGUGGCUGUUGUGAUGUAUGCUGGAUAUACUUGAAGGAGGGAGAAAUCUGCCGCAAAUUCAUUCCUGAAAACACAAUGUGUAGUCCAGGCUUGGAGUGUGGUUCUCGAGGUGUGUGUGUGCCGAUGGCUGAACAAAAUGUGGAAGAUGCUGAAGAUAGCUCAGACUGCACAGACAGCUCUGAGUAAGACUGUACACACAAGAAAAGUGAUGUUGUACUUGCACUCAACUCCUAUAAGAUUUAAUGCAUUUGAGAAAGACGAAACUCAUUGUAAUCCUGGAAAUAAACAAUUAGAAGUACUGCA